UGUCACCAUACAGUAUUAGAAUGUAUGGGCUCCGAUGAGACGAAGUUUGUUAUUCGCGAAGUCGCGCGUGACUUCGUUGAAUAACUUCGGUUAUUGAUUUUUAAAGUGGAAAACCGCUUUACAACUUGAAACCAAACUCGGCUUCACUACCAGGGUUUUAAGUUUAAAAG